rnacentral:rRNA from 1 species
GAUCAUGGCUCAGGAUGAACGCUAGCUACAGGCUUAACACAUGCAAGUCGAGGGGCAGCAUGAACUUAGCUUGCUAAGUUUGAUGGCGACCGGCGCACGGGUGAGUAACACGUAUCCAACCUGCCGAUGACUCGGGGAUAGCCUUUCGAAAGAAAGAUUAAUACCCGAUGGCAUAGUUCUUUUCGCAUGGUAGAACUAUUAAAGAAUUUCGGUCAUCGAUGGGGAUGCGUUCCAUUAGG